UACGUAGGUGGCAAGCGUUUGUCCGGAUUUAUUGGGUUUAAAGGGUGCGUAGGCGGCUUAAUAAGUCAGUGGUGAAAGCCGAUCGCUUAACGAUCGAACUGCCAUUGAUACUGCUAGGCUUGAGUAUAGUUGAGGUAGGCGGAAUUGACAGUGUAGCGGUGAAAUGCAUAGAUAUUGUCAAGAACACCAAUUGCGAAGGCAGCUUACUAAAGUAUAACUGACGCUGAGGCACGAAAGUGCGGGGAUCAAACAGG
rnacentral:rRNA from 1 species